AGCUUUAAUGAACAUAUUUAAAGUUUUUUCUGCCCGGUGAGUCUAUUUUAACGGCCGCAGUACUUUGACUGUGCUAAGGUAGCAUAAUAAAUUGACUUUUAAUUAAAGUCUAGUAUGAAUGGAUUUUUGGAAAAUAACUGUCUCUGUUAAUCUUUUAAAAAUUUACUUAUUAGGUGAAAAUACCUAUAUUUAUUAAAUAAGACGAGAAGACCCUAAGAAUUAUUAAUAAAAUAACUUAUUUUUAAUAUUUUUUUGUUGGGGCAACAAAUUUAAAAUUUUAAAUUAAUUAAUUAAUUUUAAUGUGUCAAUUAUUAUAAGAAUAUAAUUAAUUACCUUAGGGAUAACAGCAUAAUUUAUAAAUUAGAUUGUGACCUCGAUGUUGGAUUAAGGACUUUAUUUACUAGCCGUAAUUAAAGAUGGUUCUGUUCGAACUUUUAGACCUU
rnacentral:rRNA from 1 species